rnacentral:rRNA from 1 species
ACUGCUCAGUAACACGUGGAUAACCUGCCCUUGGGUCCGGCAUAACCCCGGGAAACUGGGGAUAAUUCCGGAUAACGCACAUAUGCUGGAAUGCUUUAUGCGUAAAAUGGAUUCGUCUGCCCAAGGAUGGGUCUGCGGCCUAUCAGGUAGUAGUGGGUGUAAUGUACCUACUAGCCAACAACGGGUACGGGUUGUGAGAGCAAGAGCCCGGAGAUGGAUUCUGAGACAUGAAUCCAGGCCCUACGGGGCGCAGCAGGCGCGAAAACUUUACAAUGCGGGAAACCGUGAUAAGGGGACACCGAGUGCCAGCAUCAUAUGCUGGCUGUCCAGGUGUGUAAAAUACACCUGUUAGCAAGGGCCGGGCAAGACCGGUGCCAGCCGCCGCGGUAACACCGGCGGCCCGAGUGGUGAUCGUGAUUAUUGGGUCUAAAGGGUCCGUAGCCGGUUUGGUCAGUCCUCCGGGAAAUCUGACGGCUCAACCGUUAGGCUUUCGGGGGAUACUGCCAGGCUUGGAACCGGGAGAGGUAAGAGGUACUACAGGGGUAGGAGUGAAAUCUUGUAAUCCCUGUGGGACCACCUGUGGCGAAGGCGUCUUACCAGAACGGGUUCGACGGUGAGGGACGAAAGCUGGGGGCACGAACCGGAUUAGAUACCCGGGUAGUCCCAGCCGUAAACGAUGCUCGCUAGGUGUCAGGCAUGGCGCGACCGUGUCUGGUGCCGCAGGGAAGCCGUGAAGCGAGCCACCUGGGAAGUACGGCCGCAAGGCUGAAACUUAAAGGAUUGGCGGGGGAGCAC